ACGUGAUCUGAGUUCAGACCGGAGCAAUCCAGGUCAGUUUCUAUCUAUAAAGGGCUUUUUCUAGUACGAAAGGACCGAAAAUGCAUGGCCAAUGCUUCAUGCAAGCCAUAUGCUAAAACUUAUGACCCAGUCUUAAUAAGCAAAUAACCUCCUACUAUGCCCAAGAAAAGGGA
rnacentral:rRNA from 1 species